UACCCCCAGCUGUGUGUGAUGGUGACUGAUCCCAGCUGCAGGGAGGUCAGAGACAACUGCUUACACAGACCUGGUAACUCAGUAGGGGGAGAUCUAGGAGAGGUGUUUUCUCUCUUGGAAGGGCCUGGAGGAGUCAGGAUGGAAGAGACCCCCCAUGGAAAAGGUCGAAGCUUAUUCAAAGAGUGCCCAUGCUACCAUUGCCCAUGCUGUAUCAGCUUUGUGGAUAAAUAGAAGACCGCAGUCUCUGUGGCUGUCAAAAACCUUUGACAAGGCCUAUAUCUUAAAAGCAGGCUUGAACUAUAUUCAGGAAAAACAAUGAAAGCAAUGGAGAUUUGUGGGAAACUGAUCCCUUUUGUUGAUGGGUGCUUGCCUGAAGAUCAUUAGAUCUCCACUUUCAUAGAUUCCAAGGCCUGAAGAAACCACUGUGAUCAUCUAAUCUGAUCUCCUAUAGGGCUGUAUCCAGAUGACUUUUUGUUUAGGCUUGUCGA